rnacentral:rRNA from 1 species
AUUGAACGCUGGCGGCAGGCCUAACACAUGCAAGUCGAACGAGUGGCGGACGGGUGAGUAAUGUCUGGGAAACUGCCUGAUGGAGGGGGAAAACCCCUGGAAACGGUAGCUAAUACCGCAUACCAUCAGAUCUGCCAAGAUGGGAUUCGCUAUUUGGUGGGGUAAAGGCUCACCAAGGCGACGAUCCCUAGCUGGUCUGAGAGGAGGACCAGCCACACUUGAACUGAGACACGGUCCAGACUCCUCCGGGAGGCAGCAGUAGGGAAUAUUGCACAAUGGGCGCAAGCCUGAUGCAGCCAUGCCGCGUGUAUGAAGAAGGCCUUCGGGUUGUAAAGGACUUUCAGCGGGGAGGCGUUACCCGCAGAAGAAGCACCGGCUAACUCCGUGCCAGCAGCCGCGGUAAUAC